rnacentral:rRNA from 1 species
CAGUCGAACGAGCGAGAGAGAGCUUGCUUUCUCGAGCGAGUGGCGAACGGGUGACUAUCGCGUGAGGAACCUGCCUCAAAGAGGGGGACAACAGUUGGAAACGACUGCUAAUACCGCAUAAGCCCACGGGUCGGCAUCGACCAGAGGGAAAAGGAGCAAUCCGCUUUGAGAUGGCCUCGCGUCCGAUUAGCUGGUUGGUGAGGUAACGGCCCACCAAGGCGACGAUCGGUAGCCGGACUGAGAGGUUGAACGGCCACAUUGGGACUGAGACACGGCCCAGACUCCUACGGGAGGCAGCAGUGGGGAAUAUUGCACAAUGGGGGAAACCCUGAUGCAGCGACGCCGCGUGGAGGAAGAAGGUCUUCGGAUUGUAAACUCCUGUUGUUGAGGAAGAUAAUGACGGUACUCAACAAGGAAGUGACGGCUAACUACGUGCCAGCAGCCGCGGUAAAACGUAGGUCACAAGCGUUGUCCGGAAUUACUGGGUGUAAAGGGAGCGCAGGCGGGAAGACAAGUUGGAAGUGAAAUCCAUGGGCUCAACCCAUGAACUGCUUUCAAAACUGUUUUUCUUGAGUAGUGCAGAGGUAGGCGGAAUUCCCGGUGUAGCGGUGGAAUGCGUAGAUAUCGGGAGGAACACCAGUGGCGAAGGCGGCCUACUGGGCACCAACUGACGCUGAGGCUCGAAAGUGUGGGUAGCAAACAGGAUUAGAUACCCUGGUAGUCCACACCGUANACGAUGAUUACUAGGUGUUGGA